CCUUGUACACACCGCCCGUCACACCAUGGGAGUUGGUUCUACCCGAAGCCGGUGCGCGAACCGCAAGGACGCAGUCCGACCACGGUAGGGUCGAGCGACGUGGGGUG
rnacentral:rRNA from 1 species